rnacentral:rRNA from 1 species
GGGGAAUAUUGCACAAUGGGGGAAACCCUGAUGCAGCGACGCCGCGUGAGUGAAGAAGUAUUUCGGUAUGUAAAGCUCUAUCAGCAGGGACGAUAAUGACGGUACCUGACUAAGAAGCCCCGGCUAACUACGUGCCAGCAGCCGCGGUAAUACGUAGGGGGCAAGCGUUAUCCGGAUUUACUGGGUGUAAAGGGAGCGUAGACGGUUAUGUAGGUCAGAUGUGAAAGCCCAGGGCUCAACCCUGGGACUGCAUUUGAAACUAUGUAACUGGAGUGCAGGAGAGGUAAGUGGAAUUCCUAGUGUAGCGGUGAAAUGCGUAGAUAUUAGGAGGAACACCAGUGGCGAAGGCGGCUUACUGGACUGUAACUGACGUUGAGGCUCGAAAGCGUGGGGAGCAAAC